rnacentral:rRNA from 1 species
AGGUGAUCCAGCCGCACCUUCCGAUACGGCUACCUUGUUACGACUUCACCCCAAUCAUUUGUCCCACCUUCGACGGCUAGCUCCUAAAAGGUUACUCCACCGGCUUCGGGUGUUACAAACUCUCGUGGUGUGACGGGCGGUGUGUACAAGACCCGGGAACGUAUUCACCGUAGCAUGCUGAUCUACGAUUACUAGCGAUUCCAGCUUCAUGUAGUCGAGUUGCAGACUACAAUCCGAACUGAGAACAACUUUAUGGGAUUUGCUUGACCUCGCGGUUUCGCUGCCCUUUGUAUUGUCCAUUGUAGCACGUGUGUAGCCCAAAUCAUAAGGGGCAUGAUGAUUUGACGUCAUCCCCACCUUCCUCCGGUUUGUCACCGGCAGUCAACUUAGAGUGCCCAACUUAAUGAUGGCAACUAAGCUUAAGGGUUGCGCUCGUUGCGGGACUUAACCCAACAUCUCACGACACGAGCUGACGACAACCAUGCACCACCUGUCACUUUGUCCCCCGAAGGGGAAGGCUCUAUCUCUAGAGUUGUCAAAGGAUGUCAAGAUUUGGUAAGGUUCUUCGCGUUGCUUCGAAUUAAACCACAUGCUCCACCGCUUGUGCGGGUCCCCGUCAAUUCCUUUGAGUUUCAACCUUGCGGUCGUACUCCCCAGGCGGAGUGCUUAAUGCGUUAGCUGCAGCACUAAGGGGCGGAAACCCCCUAACACUUAGCACUCAUCGUUUACGGCGUGGACUACCAGGGUAUCUAAUCCUGUUUGAUCCCCACGCUUUCGCACAUCAGCGUCAGUUACAGACCAGAAAGUCGCCUUCGCCACUGGUGUUCCUCCAUAUCUCUGCGCAUUUCACCGCUACACAUGGAAUUCCACUUUCCUCUUCUGCACUCAAGUUUUCCAGUUUCCAAUGACCCUCCACGGUUGAGCCGUGGGCUUUCACAUCAGACUUAAAAAACCGCCUACGCGCGCUUUACGCCCAAUAAUUCCGGAUAACGCUUGCCACCUACGUAUUACCGCGGCUGCUGGCACGUAGUUAGCCGUGGCUUUCUGAUUAGGUACCGUCAAGAUGUGCACAGUUACUUACACAUAUGUUCUUCCCUAAUAACAGAGUUUUACGAUCCGAAGACCUUCAUCACUCACGCGGCGUUGCUCCGUCAGGCUUUCGCCCAUUGCGGAAGAUUCCCUACUGCUGCCUCCCGUAGGAGUCUGGACCGUGUCUCAGUUCCAGUGUGGCCGAUCACCCUCUCAGGUCGGCUAUGCAUCGUUGCCUUGGUAAGCCGUUACCUUACCAACUAGCUAAUGCAGCGCGGAUCCAUCUAUAAGUGACAGCAAGACCGUCUUUCACUUUUGAACCAUGCGGUUCAAAAUAUUAUCCGGUAUUAGCUCCGGUUUCCCGAAGUUAUCCCAGUCUUAUAGGUAGGUUAUCCACGUGUUACUCACCCGUCCGCCGCUAACAUCAGAGAAGCAAGCUUCUCGUCCGUUCGCUCGACUUGCAUGUAUUAGGCACGCCGCCAGCGUUCAUCCUGAGCCAGGAUCAAACUCU